rnacentral:rRNA from 1 species
UACGUAGGGUGCGAGCGUUGUCCGGAAUUAUUGGGCGUAAAGAGCUCGUAGGCGGUUUGUCGCGUCGACUGUGAAAACCUACAGCUUAACUGUGGGCUUGCAGUCGAUACGGGCAGACUUGAGUUCGGUAGGGGAGACUGGAAUUCCUGGUGUAGCGGUGAAAUGCGCAGAUAUCGGGAGGAACACCAGUAGCGAAGGCGGCACUCUGGGCCGGUACUGACGCUGAGGAGCGAAAGCGUGGGGAGCGAACAGG